GUCCGGGUGGCGGAACUGGUAGACGCGCACGUUUGAGGGGCGUGUUGGGCAACCAAUGAGGGUUCAAGUCCCUCUCCGGACA
rnacentral:tRNA from 1 species